rnacentral:lncRNA from 1 species
UUUACCCAUACCAUAGAGACAUCUCUCUUCACUCUCUCCUCUAUUCACUUUUUUUCAAGCCGCCGCCGCUCCAUACUGUCUCCGCGGUGCGCCGACGUCAGUGGUGCUCCAAACACCACCCAAAUUACACCGUUCUCUUCAUCUUAUUACCCUCUCUCUGAAUCCGAGCCCCAAACCUUCAAAACCUCCCUCUAAUUCCAUGAUAUCGAAACCCUAGGUAACCGCCCCUUUAUUCCUCUUUCUGAAUUCAUGGAAAAUCCAAUCACCUACCCCACAACUUCACAUAGACGUGUAGAUCUCUAGGAGAUCUACACUUUCCUUUAAUUUCACCUUCGAUACCCGACCACCGCUGCCUAACUCUCUACCACUAUCACGACCGUCGCUGCCUCUACCUUAUCGUCGCUGAACCUCUGUUCCAGCAUGAGCACGACCAUAUGGCCUCUUUUUCUCUUUGACAAAAUGCUGGACUCUACUUUGUCUCGUCAAAGUUUUUGUGUUUUUUGGCAUUUGUCAUUGAGAAAAAGAGGGGUGGAGGUCGAUACGCCAUCGAGUUGUGUUGUACUAUUACUUUGAAGCUUGAGUGUUUAGGUCAAAUCUUAAUCCUUCCUCUAAGUUUUUGAUUUUCUAUUUACAUGCCGUUUGUUUGUAGUUCUGUUAUUGUUAAUCUGUGAUCAGUGAUUCGUGUUAGUCUCAUUAACGAUCAUCGAUGUUAGUCGUUACUUAAUACUUUCGAAUCAUGUAUUAGUUAGUCGUUUACUCUGUCAUUACGUUUUAUUUGGUCAAUCGGUUUUGUUAAUCACUUUUGAAAUCCGAUUAACUAUUUGUAGGCCAAGUUCACUAAUAUUCAAAUUUUGCGAUUGAUUUUUAUAUUUUGCUUUAGUUCAAAUAUGGUUUUGCGAUUGAUUUUAGUAUUUUACUUUAGUUCAAAAUCUAUUAGUGAUCGGUACUUCGUGUUUACUCUCGUUUUUGAUUUUGUGUUUCAGUCAACUCGAUAGUUGUUUCAUUAUCAACAUGUAUCCUGCGUUGUCUUGGUUGUUAAGUUGUAUUUUCAUAUUUAUUAUUUCUAAUUUUUUCUUUGUUUAAGCUAACUAGUUAGCCUUGACUACAUAUUUUGUUUGUUUGUAGUCAUUAGGUUAUUUUGUUAGUUUGAUUGUUCAAGUGCAUUUAUCUGAUUUUGCACCUUUUAGUUUGAAACAAUAAUUUUGUUUGAUAUUGGUGUGUGAGGAUAGUAGAAGGUACUUGAGUGUAGGGCCUUUGUUAGUUUAUUUUUACUUUUUGGGGACUGUUGGGAGUGUCAUACUCCAAAAUUUUGUCCAUUGGACAAAAUUCUAGUUUUGGACAGAUUUUUGGUCAAAAAUCUAUCAUUUUGGAUACAUUUUUUAGCCUAACAAAUCUGUCCCAAGGUCUUUUCUCCCCUUAUAAAAAGGGGAGUUAUUUCCUCGUUUACACACAUCUUUUACUCUAAAAAAACACAUCUUACACAUUCUGGACAUUCCAUGAAAUACUAGUGCCUUUAAAAGUCUAUUUUCUGGUGUAAUUCCUUUAAAAUAGACUGUUGUUUCUGGGUUCAUUUUCGGGGAUUCUGAGCUGCUUUCUGCUGUUGUUUGAGUUGCUGUUGGUUUGAUUUUCUCACUACUGUGUUUUGAUUUCUCUACAACAUAGGUAAGCCUUAAACCUCAUAAUGCAGAUUUUUCAAUAUUAAUGGACAUGACAUGUGUUUUUAGCAUACUCAGGUGUUUAGAUAAAAGGAAAAGAGACGAAUACUGGAUGGUUGUUUCUCCGGUUGUGUAAUAUCUCAAGCAAAUUACGUGCUAAAAUAUUGAUUGUUGGUUUAUCUUUAUUUCCUUAAGUUGAGUUUUCACUUUGGAAAAAGAAUAGUUGAAAGCUUCUACUCUUAUUGUGCCUUGGUGUAUGCUAUUUGCUGAUGACAUAGUAUUGAUAGAUGAGACGAGGGUCGGUGN